UACAGGGGGGGCAAGCGUUGUUCGGAAUUACUGGGCGUAAAGAGCGUGUAGGCGGCCAAGCAGGUCCGUUGUGAAAACUGGAGGCUUAACCUCCAGACGUCGACGGAAACCGCGUGGCUAGAGUCCGGAAGAGGAGAGUGGAAUUCCUGGUGUAGCGGUGAAAUGCGCAGAUAUCAGGAAGAACACCAAUGGCGAAGGCAGCUCUCUGGGACGGUACUGACGCUGAGACGCGAAAGCGUGGGGAGCGAACAGG
rnacentral:rRNA from 1 species